GUAGAUUUAUACAAAAUACAAAUUUUGGACCAAUACUAAAAGGUGUAUCACCUAAACACAAUUUCAGGAUGUUUUCGGUACCAAGAAAUUAGGCACAUAGUCUGGGAUUUUCUUGGUCAGUGUGUGUAAUGUACCACCACCACUUUUAUUGUGUUAUUUUUUUCCUACCUCCCCUUCCCCUUACGUUUCAACGGCCACCACCACUACCACCAACAACAGCAAAAGUACCAAUGCGAACAUGCGGCAAAUGGCAAUGUCCAACAGUGGGCUGGGGCCACCGAGACUGACGGAAUUGCUUGCAAAAAAACCAACUAUAAUACUAUAUCAAUUUUAUGAAUUGUAGUCUAUGUCAUUCCAUGGCGGUGAUAGGGACGACAUCAUUACUAUCUCACCGUUCAUUUUUUAUCACCACAGCAGUUUCAAAUUGAUUCAGAAGAAAAUAAUUUACUUGCUACUCAACCAACAGAAAUGUACCUUGAAGACGACGGGUGCCUUUAUUUGAUCCUAUCGAAACUAUUUGGUCCACUGCAAUGGAAAAAGACAGUUAAAGGUUUUGAACCAAAUAUCCAUUCAUGUACUCAAAAU